rnacentral:rRNA from 1 species
AUACGGAGGGUGCAAGCGUUAUCCGGAUUUAUUGGGUUUAAAGGGUGCGCAGGCGGAUAAUUAAGUCAGUGGUGAAAUCCUCCCGCUCAACGGGAGAACUGCCAUUGAUACUGAUAAUCUGGAAUGCGGUUGAAGUGGGCGGAAUGUAGCAUGUAGCGGUGAAAUGCAUAGAGAUGCUACAGAACACCGAUCGCGAAGGCAGCUCACUAAGCCGAUAUUGACGCUCAGGCACGAAAGCGUGGGUAGCGAACAGGAUUAGAAACCCGAGUAGUCC